GACGAAGGGGGCUAGCGUUGUUCGGAAUUACUGGGCGUAAAGCGCGUGUAGGCGGUUGCCCAAGUCAGGGGUGAAAGCCUUGAGCUCAACUCAAGAAAUGCACUUGGUACUGGGUGGCUAGAGGACCGGAGAGGAUAGUGGAAUUCCCAGUGUAGUGGUGAAAUACGUAGAGAUUGGGAAGAACACCAGUGGCGAAGGCGGCUAUCUGGACGGUUACUGACGCUAAGACUCGAAAGCGUGGGGAGCAAACAGG
rnacentral:rRNA from 1 species